GCACGGCGGCGGGCACGGGGCCCUCGGGGCACGCAGGGCGGCGCCGCUGCGGCCCGGCCCUCGGCGGGAGGGCCCCGCUCCUGCGCCGCUCUCUGUGUCACAGACAGGCUCUCCGGCAGAGCGGGGGCUUGGGGGAAGCUAGCGCGUCAAGGCGUCAGCCUGCUUAUUUUUGUCAUUAACAGCCGUUGCAUAAUCCGUCAAAUCUGUUCUGCUCCUGGAAGAGCAUCGCUGCCAAUCCUGUCCCUACCGCUCACCCCAGUAAUUGCAAUACAGCCCUCAAGCAAGCCAGACAUAACUCUCAGCUGCGACAUUAGAGGACAAGGAAUCCUUCCCUUUACUCUUAGCACUGCUUAGAGAGGUGCUUCUACUAUUUGAGUCACGAGUGAGUCUGGGAUCAAACACAACAACACAGAGAUAAUCUCCCUGUAUCUUGCAACUUUAACUACUCUGACAUCUGCUGGAGAAGCCACACUGAAGCACAAACAGUCCAGGAAGUUUGUGAAAAACAUUGAUGACAACUUCCUGUCACAGGUAGUGAAGGAUCCCACAAGGUGUGCUACUCAACCUUAUACUAACAGGGAACGCCUCAUUGGAGAUGUGAAGGUUGGGGACAGCCUUGGCUGUGGUGGCCAUGAGAUUGUGGAGUUCAGUAUCAGAUGAGGAGGAAACAGAGCAGCAAGUAAGGUUGCAACCACAGAUUUCAGGAGAGCUAACUUUAGCCUCUUCAGGGAUCUUCUUGGGAGAAUCCCAUGGGAACAGGCCCUUCAGGGAAGAGGGAUCCAAGAGAACUGGUUGAUAUUCAAGGAUCACUUCUUCCAGGCUCAAGAAUGGUGCAUCCCAAAGAGCAAGAACUCCUGUCAUUACUCAAGUGUAAGCAAGAAAUACAUAGGAGAUAGAAGAAGGGUCAGGCAAUUCGGAAUGAAUAUAGGGAUGUUGUCAGAGUGAAUAGAAAUGAAACAAGGACGGAAAAGACCCAUCUGGAAUUAAAUCUGGCCAAGAAUGUCAAAGACAACAAGAAGGGCUUCUUCAAAUAUAUCAGUAACAAAAGAAAAACUAAGGAAAACUAAUACCUGAUGGGAUGCAUCCACAACUGCUGAGAAAGCUGGUGGACACAAUAGCUAGGCUGCUGACAAUCAUCUUUGAAAGGUUGUGGCAAUAAAGGGAAGUGGUGCUAAGCAAUAGGACAAGAGGCAAUGGGCAGAAACAGAUACACAGGAAGUUCCACCUUAAUAUGAGGAAGAACUUCUUUACAAUUGUGAUGGACUGAAA